UACGAAGGGGGGCUAGCGUUGCUCGGAAUCACUGGGCGUAAAGCGCACGUAGGCGGCUUUCUAAGUCAGGGGUGAAAUCCUGGAGCUCAACUCCCAGAACUGCCUUUGAUACUUGGGAAGCUCGAGUCCGGAAAGAGGGUGAGUGGAACUCCGAGUGUAGAGGGUGAAAUUCGUAGAUAUUCGGAAGAACACCAGUGGCGAAGGCGGCUCACUGGUCCGGUACUGACGCUGAGGCGCGAAAGC
rnacentral:rRNA from 1 species